UAGCGUAGGGGGCAAGCGUUUGUCCGGAUUUAUUGGGCGUAAAGAGCGUGUAGGCGGCUAGGUAGGUCUGUUGUGAAAACUCGAGGCUCAACCUCGAGACGCCGAUGGAAACCAUCUGGCUAGAGUCCGGAAGAGGAGAGUGGAAUUCCUGGUGUAGCGGUGAAAUGCGCAGAUAUCAGGAGGAACACCUAUUGCGAAGGCAGCUCGCUGGGACGUAACUGACGCUGAGACGCGAAAGCGUGGGGAGCAAACAGG
rnacentral:rRNA from 1 species